UUCCAGACUCCUACGGGAGGCAGCAGUGGGGAAUAUUGGGCAAUGGGCGCAAGCCUGACCCAGCGACGCCGCGUGAGGGAAGACGGUCUUCGGAUUGUAAACCUCUUUCAGCAGGGAAGACAAAAGGACGGUACCUGCAGAAGAAGCCACGGCUAACUACGUGCCAGCAGCCGCGGUAAUACGGAGGAUGCGAGCGUUAUCCGGAUUUAUUGGGUUUAAAGGGUGCGUAGGCGGAAUAUCAAGUCAGCGGUAAAAAUUCGGGGCUCAACCCCGUCGUGCCGUUGAAACUGAUGUUCUUGAGUGGGCGAGAAGUAUGCGGAAUGCGUGGUGUAGCGGUGAAAUGCAUAGAUAUCACGCAGAACUCCGAUUGCGAAGGCAGCAUACCGGCGCCCAACUGACGCUGAAGCACGAAAGCGUGGGUAUCGAACAGGAUUAGAUACCCCAGUACG
rnacentral:rRNA from 1 species